GAUGAACGCUGGCGGCGUGCUUAACACAUGCAAGUCGAACGGGAAACCUUUUAUUGAAGCUUCGGCAGAUUUAGCUGGUUUCUAGUGGCGGACGGGGGAGUAACGCGUGGGUAACCUGCCUUAUACAGGGGGAUAACAGUCAGAAAUGGCUGCUAAUACCGCAUAAGCGCACAGAGCUGCAUGGCUCAGUGUGAAAAACUCCGGUGGUAUAAGAUGGACCCGCGUUGGAUUAGCUGGUUGGUGGGGUAACGGCCCACCAAGGCGACGAUCCAUAGCCGGCCUGAGAGGGUGAACGGCCACAUUGGGACUGAGACACGGCCCAGACUCCUACGGGAGGCAGCAGUGGGGAAUAUUGCACAAUGGGGGAAACCCUGAUGCAGCGACGCCGCGUGAAGGAAGAAGUAUCUCGGUAUGUAAACUUCUAUCAGCAGGGAAGAUAAUGACGGUACCUGACUAAGAAGCCCCGGCUAACUACGUG
rnacentral:rRNA from 1 species